UGCGUAGGGACCAAGCGUUGUUCGGAUUUACUGGGCGUAAAGGGCGCGUAGGCGGCAAUUCAAGUCAUCUGUGAAAUCUCCGGGCUUAACCCGGAACGGUCAGAUGAUACUGCUUUGCUAGAGUGCGGAAGGGGCAAUCGGAAUUCUUGGUGUAGCGGUGAAAUGCGUAGAUAUCAAGAGGAACACCUGAGGUGAAGACGGGUUGCUGGGCCGACACUGACGCUGACAGCGCGAAAGCCAGGGGAGCAAACGGG
rnacentral:rRNA from 1 species